rnacentral:rRNA from 1 species
UGAGUAACGCGUAGGAAUCUACCCAUCUGUGGGGGAUACCAGUUGGAAACGACUGUUAAUACCGCAUAAUAUCUGCGGAUUAAAGGUGGCCUUUGUGCUGCCGCAGAUGGAUGAGCCUGCGUUAGAUUAGCUUGUUGGUGGGGUAAAGGCCUACCAAGGCUACGAUCUAUAGCUGAUUUGAGAGGAUGAUCAGCCACAUUGGGACUGAGACACGGCCCAAACUCCUACGGGAGGCAGCAGUGGGGAAUAUUGGACAAUGGGCGAAAGCCUGAUCCAGCAAUGCCAUGUGUGUGAAGAAGGCUCUAGGGUUGUAAAGCACUUUAGUUGGGGAGGAAAGCUUAUGAGUUAAUAGCUCAUGAGAAGGACGUUACCCAAAGAAUAAGGACCGGCUAACUCCGUGCCAGCAGCCGCGGUAAUACGGGGGGUCCGAGCGUUAAUCGGAAUUACUGGGCGUAAAGGGUCUGUAGGUGGUUUGUUAAGUCAGAUGUGAAAGCCCAGGGCUCAACCUUGGAACUGCAUUUGAUACUGGCAAACUAGAGUAUGGUAGAGGAAUGGGGAAUUUCUGGUGUAGCGGUGAAAUG